AGUUAUCUCAGUUUUAAUGUGACAAGACAGAAGGUGGUUUAAAUAUGAGAAACUCAAACCACACCCACAUUUACAGACAAUAUACUGUAGCUGCACAAACCACUCUCCAUUACAUUCAUACAUUUACCUUUCAAAUUAAAAUCAUAAAGCAUAUAGUUUAUUAGAAAAUUUCCCACCAUGGAGAGAUGUAUUCUGCUUCUUAUAACAGUAUCAGGUGUAUUUGCUGACAGCAUUAAACCAAAAGACAAGGAAAAUAUAAUCAGGACAGAAGGAGAGUCUGUGACACUGAGCUGUACAUAUGAUACAAGCAGCAAUAAUGUUAUCCUUUACUGGUACAGACAGUAUCCAAACAGAGAACCUCAGUAUUUACUGAGGAAAGGUGUUGGAUCAUGGAGCCAUAUUGAGGAUAUACCAGAUCCUCACUUUCAGUCGACUACACCCCAAUCAUCCACUGAACUCAUUAUUAACAGUGUGACUCUGUCAGAUUCAGCUCUAUAUUAUUGUGCUCUAAGAGCUGGAGCCCAGUGAUACAAAGUCUAUGUGAAGCUGUACAAAAACUGAAAUUCAUUUUUCACUUUGAUCUCAAGCCACAUCAAACCCACAAUCUAUAAUUCACAUAAUAUAAUUGUGGAAACACCUGUGUGUGGU